rnacentral:rRNA from 1 species
UGUGAACUCGAAGAGUAGGGCGGGACACGUGGUAUCCUGUCUGAAUAUGGGGGGACCAUCCUCCAAGGCUAAAUACUCCUGACUGACCGAUAGUGAACCAGUACCGUGAGGGAAAGGCGAAAAGAACCCCGGCGAGGGGAGUGAAAAAGAACCUGAAACCGUGUACGUACAAGCAGUGGGAGCACCUUCGGGUGUGACUGCGUACCUUUUGUAUAAUGGGUCAGCGACUUAUAUUCUGUAGCAAGGUUAACCGUAUAGGGGAGCCGCAGGGAAACCGAGUCUUAACUGGGCGUUAAGUUGCAGGGUAUAGACCCGAAACCCGGUGAUCUAGCCAUGGGCAGGUUGAAGGUUGGGUAACACUAACUGGAGGACCGAACCGACUAAUGUUGAAAAAUUAGCGGAUGACUUGUGGCUGGGGGUGAAAGGCCAAUCAAACCGGGAGAUAGCUGGUUCUCCCCGAAAGCUAUUUAGGUAGCGCCUCGUGAACUCAUCUUCGGGGGUAGAGCACUGUUUCGGCUAGGGGGUCAUCCCGACUUACCAACCCGAUGCAAACUACGAAUACCGAAGAAUGUUAUCACGGGAGACACACGGCGGGUGCUAACGUCCGUCGUGAAGAGGGAAACAACCCAGACCGCCAGCUAAGGUCCCAAAGUCAUGGUUAAGUGGGAAACGAUGUGGGAAGGCACAGACAGCCAGGAUGUUGGCUUAGAAGCAGCCAUCAUUUAAAGAAAGCGUAAUAGCUCACUGGUCGAGUCGGCCUGCGCGGAAGAUGUAACGGGGCUAAACCAUGCACCGAAGCUGCGGCAGCGACACGAUGUGUUGUUGGGUAGGGGAGCGUUCUGUAAGCCUGCGAAGGUG